rnacentral:rRNA from 1 species
CCUACGGGCGGCAGCAGUGGGGAAUAUUGGGCAAUGGGCGCAAGCCUGACCCAGCAACGCCGCGUGAAGGAAGAAGGCUUUCGGGUUGUAAACUUCUUUUGACAGGGAAGAGCAGAAGACGGUACCUGUCGAAUAAGCCACGGCUAACUACGUGCCAGCAGCCGCGGUAAUACGUAGGUGGCAAGCGUUGUCCGGAUUUACUGGGGGUAAAGGGCGUGUAGCCGGGCUGACAAGUCAGAUGUGAAAUCCGGGGGCUCAACCCCCGAACUGCAUUUGAAACUGUUGGUCUUGAGUAUCGGAGAGGCAGGCGGAAUUCCUAGUGUAGCGGUGAAAUGCGUAGAUAUUAGGAGGAACACCAGUGGCGAAGGCGGCCUGCUGGACGACAACUGACGGUGAGGCGCGAAAGCGUGGGGAGCAAACAGGAUUAGAUACCCCGGUAGUC